rnacentral:rRNA from 1 species
GACGAACGCUGGCGGCGUGCUUAACACAUGCAAGUCGAACGGAAAGGACCUGCGUUUGUGGGGUGCUCGAGUGGCGAAAGGGUGAGUAACACGUGAGUGACCUGCCCUUGACUUUGGGAUAACUUCAGGAAACUGGGGCUAAUAUCGGAUAGGAGAACCUACUGCAUGGUGGGGGUUGGAAAGUUUCGGCGGUUGGGGAUGGACUCGCGGCUUAUCAGCUUGUUGGUGGGGUAGUGGCGUACCAAGGCUUUGAGGGGUAGCCGGCCUGAGAGGGUGACCGGCCACAGUGGGAUAGAGAAGCGGCCCAGACUGCAACGGGAGGAAGCAGUGGGGAAUAGUGCACGAUGGGCGGAGGCCUUAUGGAGCAACUCCGCGUGCGGGAUGACUGCCGUCGGGUUGUAACCCGUGUUCGCCUGUGACGAAGCGUGAGUGACGGUAAUGUGUAAAGAAGCACCGGCUAACUACGUG